CGAGGUGUAGCGCAGUUUGGUAGCGCACAUGGUUUGGGACCAUGGGGCCGGGGGUUCAAAUCCCUCCACCUCGACCA
rnacentral:tRNA from 1 species